GACGUAGGGCGCGAGCGUUGUCCGGAUUUAUUGGGCGUAAAGAGCUCGUAGGCGGCUUGUCGCGUCGACUGUGAAAUCCCGCGGCUCAACCGCGGGUCUGCAGUCGAUACGGGCAGGCUAGAGUUCGGUAGGGGAGACUGGAAUUCUUGGUGUAGCAGUGAAAUGCGUAGAUAUCAAGAGGAACACCAGUGGCGGAGGCGAGUCCCUGGACAACACCUGACACUGAGGCACGAAAGCUAGGGGAGCAAACAGG
rnacentral:rRNA from 1 species